CAACCCCAUUUCUCUCUGUUGUCCAUCCCCAUUUGUGGAUUGUUCAUCUCCAUAUACCCAGACUUGUCUCAAAUUUUUCUUCCCAUUUGUAUGUAGAUUGUGUUCAACAACCACUACAACAACUCCACCAAUUUCCCCUAUUCCUCUCGGUCACCCUCUCUCUCAUUUGUCACAAGACACACAACACACUUAACACAACUCCACACACAACUCUCCUCUCUCUCAAAAAGAAAAAAAGGGUAGAAGAAAGCAGAGGAGAAGUGUUUUAUUUCAGGAGCUCUUUUUCCUCCAAAACUUGGUCCGCACGAUUGGAAGGCCCUCACUGUAUCAUUGAGGGAUCAAAGAAGUUGUUGGUGACCAGCAACCAGCGACGGUGCCACCAUCGGUGUUGCCAUGGUCUCCAGCGAGAAGUUGCAGCUGUGACCGGUAAGGAAGAAGAAGAGAGGGGAAGAAGAAGAAAAAAAAUGAAAGAAAA